UACAGAGGUCCCAAGCGUUGUUCGGAUUCAUUGGGCGUAAAGGGUGCGUAGGUGGCGCCGUAAGUCUGGUGUGAAAUCUCGGGGCUUAACUCCGAAACUGCAUUUGAUACUGCGGUGCUUGAGGACUGGAGAGGAGACUGGAAUUUACGGUGUAGCGGUGAAAUGCGUAGAUAUCGUAAGGAAGACCAGUGGCGAAGGCGGGUCUCUGGACAGUUCCUGACGCUGAGGCACGAAGGCCAGGGGAGCAAACGGG
rnacentral:rRNA from 1 species